AACAUGACUUUGGGGUGUUUUGUGUGUGUGUGUGUGUGUCUGUGUGUUUAAUUAAGCCCCAAACCAGGAAUUCCAGUUAGUUCUGAGGAGAGAUUGUUGUUGUUGUUUUCAAAAACGGCAAGUCAAAUGACUAGUAACUCCAUAUUUGGACCUUGGAAUGACUCCUUCCUUUUUUGAGAUGUUGGAUUCGGUACCGUUCACCCAGCUUUCCCUUGUUUCUCAAAAGACUGCCUCUCGACUUCCACCAAGAUCCCUCUGGAACAGCCUGAAAGCCAAUACAUUUAUUUAAGAUAAGUAAUCAGAGACCUUGCACAGAGGGCUGCAACACCAUGGUGGUUAUUAUCAGCAAGGCUACGGCCUUGCCCUGUUACUGGAAUUUGGACGGUGAUAAUGGUGGCCAUUUCAAAUAAGCUGACGUGACAAUGGUGGCCAUUUCAAAUAAGCUACAAUUUCUGCACCAAGAUAUAAUGGAUGAGAGAUGCUUGUAGACAAAGAAAUGGGUUCCAUCAGGUCGAUACAGCCGUAUUAAGAUUUCACCUGAGGUAGGCUAGACUUACUGAG